AUUAAUUUUCUCGAUCUUCAUGCAACCAAGAUAUCCAGAUCAUAAGUCCGCUACAUGAUUCUGCAUUUCUUCCAUCUUUGAUUGAAUUCAUGCAAAAGAAAGAACAAUAAAUGACUACUCUUUACAUAUGAAAAAUCAACAGACGGAUCAGUAUCAUGAUAUAAUCAAAUUUUGGACUGAACUUAAUAACUGCAAAUGGACGUGGUCGGGGAUUAAGCCGACUACAGUCUAAUGGCGAGGAGUCAUCUUAAGAAAGAUUAGCACCGAGGUCGAGCAAAGGAUGUAAGGAAGCAACGGUAGAAUCAGUUUAGAAUAGAAGGAACAGUUGUACUUUUAGGGUUUCUAAGAUAAAUAGGAAGAGAUAAAAAACAAAAAAAGUGACUUUCACUUUUCUCAUAAGAACACAUUGUAAAGGGUACAAAGAAUAUACAAAAGCAUGUCUUGUCCAUUGAACACAUUGUUCGAUAUACACUUUUACUUACAAGAUCCAAAGAUUGUUGUCGGGAAGAGAAAUCAUCCAAGUCACCUAACAUUUGGGUGAUAAAUUCCUUCUCAUUAAAUUCGUUGCUAUUAUCUAUAUUUAUUGUAGUUGGUAUACAAUAUUUUCGGAUUCUGCCCUACAUCAUCAAUACAUCUAAAUCAUA
rnacentral:lncRNA from 1 species